rnacentral:rRNA from 1 species
CCUACGGGAUGCAGCAGUGGGGGAUAUUGCACAAUGGGGGGCACCCUGAUGCAGCGACGCCGCGUGGGUGAAGAAGCGCCUCGGCGCGUAAAGCCCUGUCAGCAGGGACGAAAAUGACGGUACCUGAAGAAGAAGCCCCGGCUAACUACGUGCCCGCAGCCGCGGUAAUACGUAGGGGGCAAGCGUUCUCCGGAUGUACUGGGUGUAAAGGGGGCGCAGACGGCGAUGCAAGCCAGGAGUGAAAGCCCGGCGCCCAACCCCGGGACUGCUCUUGGCACUGCGUGGCUGGAGUGCAGGAGGGGCAGGCGGAAUGCCUGGUGUAGCGGUGAAAUGCGGAGAUAUCAGGAGGAACACCGGUGGCGAAGGCGGCCUGCGGGACUGCAACUGACGUUGAGGCCCGAAAGCGUGGGGAGCAAACAGGAUUAGAUACCCCAGUAGUC